GACAGAGGGUGCAAACGUUUGUUCGGAAUUACUGGGCGUAAAGCGCGUGUAGGCUGCUCAGAAAGUCGGAUGUGAAAGCCCUGGGCUUAACCUGGGAAGUGCAUUCGAAACUUCUGAGCUGGAGUUCUGGAGAGGAAGGCGGAAUUCUCGGUGUAGAGGUGAAAUUCGUAGAUAUCGAGAGGAACACCGGUGGCGAAGGCAGCCCCCCUGGGCCAUACUGACGCUCAUGCACGAAAGCGUGGGGAGCAAACAGG
rnacentral:rRNA from 1 species